rnacentral:rRNA from 1 species
CUACGGGUGGCUGCAGUGGGGAAUAUUGGACAAUGGGCGAAAGCCUGAUCCAGCAAUGCCGCGUGUGCGAUGAAGGCCUGAGGGUUGUAAAGCACUUUCGUUGGGAAGGAAAUGCUCAAAGCUAAUACCUUUGAGAGUUGACGUUACCCAAAGAAGAAGCACCGGCUAACUCUGUGCCAGCAGCCGCGGUAAUACAGAGGGUGCAAGCGUUAAUCGGAGUUACUGGGCGUAAAGGGCGCGUAGGCGGAUACUUAAGUCGGAUGUGAAAUCCCUGGGCUCAACCUAGGAACUGCGUUCGAUACUAAGUGCCUAGAGUAUGGUAGAGGAAAGUGGAAUUCCCGGUGUAGUGGUAAAAUACGUAGAUAUCGGGAGGAACAUCAGUGGCGAAGGCGACUUUCUGGGCCAAUACUGACGCUGAGGCGCGAAAGCGUGGGGAGCAAACAGGAUUAGAUACCCUGGUAGUC